CGGAAUAUAGCGCAGUCCGGUAGCGCAUCUGCCUUGGGAGCAGAGGGCCGCAAGUUCGAAUCUUGCUAUUCCGACCA
rnacentral:tRNA from 23 species